CGACCUCAGAGCAGGCGAGACUACCCGCUGAAUUUAAGCAUAUUACUAAGCGGAGGAAAAGAAACUAACAAGGAUUCCCCCAGUAGCGGCGAGCGAACAGGGAAGAGUCCAGCACCGAACCCCGCAGGCUGCCGCCUGUCGUGGCAUGUGGUGUUUGGGAGGGUCCACUACCCCGACGCCUCGCGCCGAGCCCAAGUCCAACUUGAAUGAGGCCACGGCCCGUAGAGGGUGCCAGGCCCGUAGCGGCCGGUGCGAGCGUCGGCGGGACCUCUCCUUCGAGUCGGGUUGCUUGAGAGUGCAGCUCCAAGUGGGUGGUAAACUCCAUCUGAGACUAAAUAUGACCACGAGACCGAUAGCGAACAAGUACCGUGAGGGAAAGUUGAAAAGAACUUUGAAGAGAGAGUUCAAAAGUACGUGAAACCGUUCUGGGGUAAACGUGAGAAGUCCGAAAGGUCGAACGGGUGAGAUUCACGCCCAUCCGGCCACUGGCCUCCGCCCUCGGCAGAUGGGGCCGGCCGCCCGCGCGGAGCAAUCCGCGGCGGGGUCGUGUCCGGUUGCCUUUCCACUCGCCGCGGGGUGGGGCCGUUCCGGUGUGCGGUGGGCCGCACUUCUCCCCUAGUAGGACGUCGCGACCCGCUGGGUGCCGGCCUACGGCCCGGGUGCGCAGCCUGUCCUUCCGCGGGCCUCGGUUCGCGUCUGUUGGGCAGAGCCCCGGUGUCCUGGCUGGCUGCCCGGCGGUAUAUCUGGAGGAGUCGAUUCGCCCCUUUGGGCGCUCGGGCUCCCGGCAAGCGCGCGCGGUUCUUCCCGGAUGACGGACCUACCUGGCCCGGCCCCGGACCCGCGCCGCUGUUGGCUCGGGAUGCUCUCGGGCGGAAUAAUCGCUCCCGUCAGCGGCGCUUCAGCUUUGGACAAUUUCACGACCCGUCUUGAAACACGGACCAAGGAGUCUAACAUGUGCGCGAGUCAUUGGGCUGUACGAAACCUAAAGGCGUAAUGAAAGUGAAGGUCUCGCCUUGCGCGGGCCGAGGGAGGAUGGGGCUUCCCCGCCCUUCACGGGGCGGCGGCCUCCGCACUCCCGGGGCGUCUCGUCCUCAUUGCGAGGUGAGGCGCACCUAGAGCGUACACGUUGGGACCCGAAAGAUGGUGAACUAUGCCUGGCCAGGACGAAGUCAGGGGAAACCCUGAUGGAGGUCCGUAGCGAUUCUGACGUGCAAAUCGAUCGUCGGAGCUGGGUAUAGGGGCGAAAGACUAAUCGAACCAUCUAGUAGCUGGUUCCCUCCGAAGUUUCCCUCAGGAUAGCUGGUGCUCGUACGAGUCUCAUCCGGUAAAGCGAAUGAUUAGAGGCCUUGGGGCCGAAACGACCUCAACCUAUUCUCAAACUUUAAAUGGGUGAGAUCUCCGGCUUGCUUGAUAUGCUGAAGCCGCGAGCAAACGACUCGGAUCGGAGUGCCAAGUGGGCCACUUUUGGUAAGCAGAACUGGCGCUGUGGGAUGAACCAAACGCCGAGUUAAGGCGCCCGAAUCGACGCUCAUGGGAAACCAUGAAAGGCGUUGGUUGCUUAAGACAGCAGGACGGUGGCCAUGGAAGUCGGAAUCCGCUAAGGAGUGUGUAACAACUCACCUGCCGAAGCAACUAGCCCUGAAAAUGGAUGGCGCUGAAGCGUCGUGCCUAUACUCGGCCGUCAGUCUGGCAGUCAUGGCCGGUCCUUGCGGCCGGCCGCGAAGCCCUGACGAGUAGGAGGGUCGCGGCGGUGGGCGCAGAAGGGUCUGGGCGUGAGCCUGCCUGGAGCCGCCGUCGGUGCAGAUCUUGGUGGUAGUAGCAAAUACUCCAGCGAGGCCCUGGAGGGCUGACGCGGAGAAGGGUUUCGUGUGAACAGCCGUUGCACACGAGUCAGUCGAUCCUAAGCCCUAGGAGAAAUCCGAUGUUGAUGGGGGCCGUCAUAGCAUGAUGCGCUUUGUGCUGGCCCCCGUUGGGCGAAAGGGAAUCCGGUUCCUAUUCCGGAACCCGGCAGCGGAACCGAUACAAGUCGGGCCCCUCUUUUAGAGAUGCUCGUCGGGGUAACCCAAAAGGACCCGGAGACGCCGUCGGGAGAUCGGGGAAGAGUUUUCUUUUCUGCAUGAGCGUUCGAGUUCCCUGGAAUCCUCUAGCAGGGAGAUAGGGUUUGGAACGCGAAGAGCACCGCAGUUGCGGCGGUGUCCCGAUCUUCCCCUCGGACCUUGAAAAUCCGGGAGAGGGCCACGUGGAGGUGUCGCGCCGGUUCGUACCCAUAUCCGCAGCAGGUCUCCAAGGUGAAGAGCCUCUAGUCGAUAGAAUAAUGUAGGUAAGGGAAGUCGGCAAAUUGGAUCCGUAACUUCGGGAUAAGGAUUGGCUCUGAGGAUCGGGGCGUGUCGGGCUUGGUCGGGAAGUGGGUCAGCGCUAACGUGCCGGGCCUGGGCGAGGUGAGUGCCGUAGGGGUGCCGGUAAGUGCGGGCGUUUAGCGCGGGCGUGGUCUGCUCUCGCCGUUGGUCGGCCUCGUGCUGGCCGGCGGUGCAGGAUGCGCGCGCCUGCGCGGCGUUCGCGCCCCGGUGCUUCAACCUGCGUGCAGGAUCCGAGCUCGGUCCCGUGCCUUGGCCUCCCACGGAUCUUCCUUGCUGCGAGGCCGCGUCCGCCUUAGCGUGCUCCUCCGGGGGCGCGCGGGUGCGCGGAUUCUCUUCGGCCGCCAUUCAACGAUCAACUCAGAACUGGCACGGACUGGGGGAAUCCGACUGUCUAAUUAAAACAAAGCAUUGCGAUGGCCCUAGCGGGUGUUGACGCAAUGUGAUUUCUGCCCAGUGCUCUGAAUGUCAACGUGAAGAAAUUCAAGCAAGCGCGGGUAAACGGCGGGAGUAACUAUGACUCACACAGGAGGAGGUCGCCGCCGCGUUGCCGCCCAGGGGAUCAGCAGCCGGGCCGGACGGCCUUACCCCAGCGGAGUUGCGGCGCCUGCCGCACGAAGUCCUGGUGAAAGUGAUGAAUCUCUUCCUUCUGGCCCGCGCCCUUCCGGAACGCCUGCUUCGCGCGCGGACGUCCCUUCUCCCGAAAACGGCUGCACCAACAUCCCCCGCUGACUUUCGCCCCAUUACGGUCUGCUCGGUGUUGGCGCGGACCUUUCACAAGGUUCUCGCGUCACGCCUGAUGCGCGCAUGUGCUGUGGACGAACGUCAGCGGGCAUUCAUCCCUCGGGAUGGGAUGUUGGAAAAUACCUUCAUCUUGGACACUGCUCUCACCGACGCAGUUCGCUCCUGCCGCUCUGUCUUUGUGGCAUCGAUCGACGUAUCUAAGGCAUUCGAUUCGGUAGAUCAUGCUGCCCUUCGCCCCGUGCUGAAGGCGCAUGGCCUGCCGGAUUGCUUUGUCGAGUAUGUCGAGCGGUGCUACGAGGGCAGCACGACAGUGAUAGCGGACGGCGCCGGCGUGGGCGUGUCUGUGCAGCCAGCACGGGGCGUUCGCCAGGGCGAUCCCCUCUCCCCCCUCCUGUUCAACUUUGCGGUGGACUACGUUUUAGGCCAACUGCCCUCCCACAUCGGAGCUCGGAUCCUCGGUCGCAGAGUCAACGCUGCGGCCUUUGCAGAUGACGUCUUGCUGUUUGCAGCGACCCCGAGGGGCUUGCAGUCCCUCAUCGACGCAGCUACCGCAGCCCUCGCCCACCUGGGGCUGCAGAUCAACGCCCGGAAGUGUUUCACCCUCGCCUUAGUCGCGUCAGGGCGCGAGAAGAAGGUGAAGGUGGACAGCAAUGUCACCUUCACAGCAGGCAAUACCACCAUGCCUGCCCUGCGUGUGGGUGAAACCUUCCGGUACCUGGGGCUGCAAUUUUCCACGGCGGGUCGCUGUGUCUUCAAUCCACGUAGCCACCUGGUGGAGCAGCUUGACGUCAUCUCCCGAGCUCCGCUGAAGCCGCAACAGCGCCUCCACGCUCUCACCAACGUACUUCUCCCUGGCCUGUACCACGGGCUGGCCCUCAGCCGCACCCGGGUGGGUGCAUUGAAGUCGGCCGACGUUACCAUCCGGGCCGCCGUCAGGAGAUGGUUCCGCCUUCCGGCGGACACCCCUCUGGGAUACUUCCACGCUCCUGUUGCCCAGGGGGGCCUCGGCAUUCCAUCUUGCCGAUGGAUGGGUCCGACCCUCCGUCGGUCCCGUCUCCUGGCGCUGAAGAGGAUAGGGCCAGCCUGCGACGGUGCAGGCAUGGAUGAGGUACAGCGUGAGAUCGAGGUGCUGGAGCGCCACCUAAUGUGGGAGGGCCACCUCCUCAAAUCGUCAACGCAGGUUGGGGAAAUGUGGGCGGCGCGCCUACACAUCGCCAUUGACGGUGCGGCACUGUCAUCUUCUGCCGCCGUCAGUGGCCAACAUCAGUGGGUCGCCGACACCAGUCGCCUGCUAUCUGGGCGUGAAUACAUCGACGCCCUCCGCGCCCGCAUCAACGCCUUCCCUACGAAGGCACGGCGCAGUCGCGGGCGGGAGGCGGACACCAGAUGCCGCGCGGGGUGCCAGGCCGUGGAGACCGCCAACCACGUACUUCAGGCUUGCUUUAGGACGCACGGGUCCCGGGUCAAGCGCCAUGACGCUGUAGUGCGUUAUGUCGCCCGUGGACUCGCGCAGAGGGGCUUCAAUGUCUCUGUGGAGCCCCACCUCCGAACACCUGAGGGCAUCCGCAAGCCUGACGUGGUGGCGGUCAAAGACGGCAUCGCCCGCGUGGUCGACGCCCAGAUAGUCGGAGACCACCUCCGGCUCGACUGGUGUCACUCCCAGAAGGCGGCCUACUACGACACGCCGUCCAUCCGGCGUGCCAUCUCCAACCUGCACCGUGACGUUGAGGAGGUGAUUGUGUCCACCGCGACGUUGAACUGGAGGGGUGUAUGGUCUCCAGCGUCGGCGAGGGAUCUCGCCGCCUUAGGCUUCCGACCCCGAGAACUGGCGGUGCUGAGCACAAGAACACUACAGAGCUGCUGCAAAAGUUACAAGAUUUUCGAGCGUAUGACGGCCCCUAG